rnacentral:rRNA from 1 species
CACACUGGGAUUGAGAACGGCCCAGACUCCUACGGGGGGCAGCAGUGAGGAAUUUUCGGCAAUGGUCGCAAGACUGACCGAGCAACGCCGCGUGCAGGACGAAGGUCUUCGGAUCGUAAACUGCUUUUCUGUGGGACGAGUUUGGACGGUACCACAGGAAGAAGCCCCGGCUAACUACGUGCCAGCCGCCGCGGUAAAAC